UACGUAGGGGGCAAGCGUUGUCCGGAUUUAUUGGGCGUAAAGAGCUCGUAGGCGGUUGGGCAAGUCACGUGUGAAAUCUCCACGCUCAACGUGGAGGCGCCACGUGAGACUGCCCUGACUCGAGUCCGGUAGGGGAGCGUGGAAUUCCCGGUGUAGCGGUGAAAUGCGCAGAUAUCAGGAGGAACACCGGUGGCGAAGGCGCCACUCUGGGCCGAAACUGACGCUGAGGAGCGAAAGCGUGGGUAGCAAACAGG
rnacentral:rRNA from 1 species